GACGAACCGUGCGAACGUUGUUCGGAAUCACUGGGCUUAAAGGGCGCGUAGGCGGGUCAGCAAGUCCGGGGUGAAAUCUUUCGGCUCAACCGGAAAAGUGCCUCGGAUACUGCUGGUCUUGAGGGAGGUAGGGGUUUGUGGAACUUCUGGUGGAGCGGUGAAAUGCGUUGAGAUCAGAAGGAACGCCGGUGGCGAAAGCGACGAACUGGACCUCUGCUGACGAUGAGGCGCGAAAGCCAGGGGAGCAAACGGG
rnacentral:rRNA from 1 species